rnacentral:rRNA from 1 species
GGAUUAGAUACCCUGGUAGUCCACGCCCUAAACGAUGUCAACUAGCCGUUGGGUUCAUUUUAAGGACUUAGUGGCGCAGCUAACGCGAUAAGUUGACCGCCUGGGGAGUACGGCCGCAAGGUUAAAACUCAAAGGAAUUGACGGGGGCCCGCACAAGCGGUGGAGCAUGUGGUUUAAUUCGAUGCAACGCGAAGAACCUUACCACCCCUUGACAUCCUGCGAACUUUCUAGAGAUAGAUUGGUGCCUUCGGGAACGCAGUGACAGGUGCUGCAUGGCUGUCGUCAGCUCGUGUCG